CGUGCCAGCAGCCGCGGUAAUACGGAGGGGGUUAGCGUUGUUCGGAAUUACUGGGCGUAAAGCGCACGUAGGCGGAUUAGAAAGUUGGGGGUGAAAUCCCGGGGCUCAACCCCGGAACUGCCUCCAAAACUGCUAGUCUAGAGUUCGAGAGAGGUGAGUGGAAUUCCGAGUGUAGAGGUGAAAUUCGUAGAUAUUCGGAGGAACACCAGUGGCGAAGGCGGCUCACUGGCUCGAUACUGACGCUGAGGUGCGAAAGUGUGGGGAGCAAACAGGAUUAGAUACCCUGGUAGUCCACACCGUAAACGAUGAAUGCCAGUCGUCGGGUAGUAUACUAUUCGGUGACACACCUAACGGAUUAAGCAUUCCGCCUGGGGAGUACGGUCGCAAGAUUAAAACUCAAA
rnacentral:rRNA from 1 species